AGUGAAGUGCUUUCAUUAGAAAGAGCCCGGUGACAGGUGCUGCAUGGCUGUCGUCAGCUCGUGUCGUGAGAUGUUGGGUUAAGUCCCGCAACGAGCGCAACCCUCGCCUUUAGUUGCCAGCAUUCAGUUGGGCACUCUAAAGGGACUGCCGGUGUCAAACCGGAGGAAGGUGGGGAUGACGUCAAGUCCUCAUGGCCUUUAUGUCUAGGGCUACACACGUACUACAAUGGCAGGUACAAAGGGCAGCGACACAGCGAUGUGAUGCGAAUCCCGAAAAGCCUGUCUCAGUCCGGAUCGGAGUCUGCAACUCGACUCCGUGAAGUUGGAAUCGCUAGUAAUCGUGGAUCAGCAUGCCACGGUGAAUACGUUCCCGGGCCUU
rnacentral:rRNA from 1 species